UCUAGCAGGCUAUUUCGGGUCACAUUUCGAUCCUCCGGCGGCCACUCCUCGAGGAGUCGUCGUCGGAUCGUUCGGUGUGUCUCGUCUUGCGAUGGGACGGCGCAUGAGUGGCGAUCGGGAUAUGUUUCUCGUGCAGGCUCCAUGCUUCUGGCAUCGAACUGCUUGGGCGUAUCUUCUUCAUUUGUGGGCUCGCCUCGGCGUUUCGAGGGUCGGUUGCGGCCACUCCGUUGGGUUCCUGUGCUCGAUAUUGAAUUCGGCAGUUGGAUGGAUUGCUAUUCCCCGUCGCGGUUUGUCGUUCCCACCCGCCUCGCGCGGCGUUGGUGGUUAUCGCGCGGGCAUCGACGUUUACCUUCCGAGCCGUUGUCCCCUUUACGUCGCUACCGCUCGUGAUGGCUCGUCGAUGCUACCGGCUCUCUCGGGUACGGAGAUUUUCUGGCUGUCGCGCUGGUCCGCGACCUUUGUGAGCGUAACGUUUCGAAGCAUUCUUGCUUCUGCAUGUACGACCCUCGUUCUCCUCCGGGGGCUCACCGAGCCGCUUCGUUCGGUGUUCUUCUCGGGGAGCCGUCGAGGUCUACAACGGAAUGCUACCUGGUUGAUCCUGCCAGUAGUCAA
rnacentral:misc_RNA from 1 species